CUGUCGAGAUGAGUCGCMUAUUCAGGGAGGGAGGAGAUGUUUCUUAAUAUGGAUCAAAGUUGUUCAAAUUAGUCAAUUACAUUUACAAAAUMCAAACGCUACAGCAAGGCGUUUGUGAGAAAAAUGGAUGAAGAAAUUAUAACAUAUUUUUCCACAUUGCAUUAAAACUACAAAGCUGACGCUGGAUUGCUAAAUUYGUUUAUUUUCAUUGAAAUAGAAUGGCUGGUUACCUAGCUAGCAAUAGUCUUCUGUCUAGACUCUAGCCUGUAACUAAUGGUUGUUACGUUGUAGAACAGAGCAAUAGUUAUUUGUACUUGUCAUUUGUUUGAGACUAACAUUAGUUAGAAAAUAAUUGUUUACUUUGUGUAUAUUUGUUGUGUAAUUGUUUGGCUUUGCUAGUUAGCCAGCUGAGAUUGAUUUUUCUCAAAUUGGCUAACUUAGCUAUUAGCUAAUGUUUUAAGAGAAACAGGCUAGCUCCUUGCAGAAUCUAGAGUAGAGAAUGUGGAAUAAGAUGUGUCUGUUGCAGUGCCCAGACGAGGUCAGAGCAACCUGCUACAGAGAUAGAGGAAUCUCCAAAUGCCAUGUUGAACGAGCACCAGGGAUGAAGGAGGGGGAGGAAAACAGACUGCUUCUUUCUCCCACACCUUCACCAUGUCAUACAAUGUUUGCUUCAUGAAUUAUUGUUACAUCUGAAAUAAAUACAUUGUUAUURUAGUAUA